rnacentral:rRNA from 1 species
AGUGAACGCUGGCGGCAGGCCUAACACAUGCAAGUCGAGCGGCAGCGCGGUCCGACCACCCUCGGGUGGUCGGAUGGCGGGCGAGCGGCGGACGGGUGAGGAAUGCAUCGGAAUCUGCCUCGUUGUGGGGGAUAACGUUCGGAAACGGACGCUAAUACCGCAUACGUCCUACGGGAGAAAGCGGGGGAUCUUCGGACCUCGCGCCAUUAGAUGAGCCUAGGUCGGAUUAGCUAGUUGGUGAGGUAAUGGGCUCACCAAGGCGACGAUCCGUAACUGGUCUGAGAGGAUGAUCAGUCACACUGGAACUGAGACACGGUCCAGACUCCUACGGGAGGCAGCAGUGGGGAAUAUUGGACAAUGGGCGAAAGCCUGAUCCAGCCAUGCCGCGUGUGUGAAGAAGGUCUUCGGAUUGUAAAGCACUUUAAGUUGGGAGGAAGGGUAGUAACCUAAUACGUUGCUACUUUGACGUUACCGACAGAAUAAGCACCGGCUAACUUCGUG